rnacentral:sRNA from 1 species
GGUGUUGGAGUAAGUGGCGGGUCAGUUUCGUUGCUUAUGGAGCUCUCCAUGGGUUGUAUGAUAACCGCAAGCUGACUAGGGUAAAACUGAAAGAAAACAUACA